UACGGCCAUAUCACGUUGAUAUGCCGGUUUUCAUACGAUCUCCGAAGUUAACCAACGUCGAGCUUGUUUCCUAUCAAGAUGAGUGACUACUUGGGAAUAAUAGGUGCU